UAUAGGUGCAGCUAUAAUUUAUGGUCUAACUUUAAUCAUUUAUCUUAUUUAAAUUUUUUUAUGAUUAGUAUUUUUAUCGUUAUUAGAUAAUAAAAUAUGAGCAGUACUUUAUACGUCACUUAUGUUUUAAUUUUUUUUUAGAAAAAUAAAUGAAAUGAAUGAUUAAAAUUGGAUACGAAAAAUUGUUGCAUUUAAA
rnacentral:pre_miRNA from 1 species